UGGGGAAUUUUGGACAAUGGGCGAAAGCCUGAUCCAGCAAUGCCGCGUGUGUGAAGAAGGCCUUCGGGUUGUAAAGCACUUUUGUCCGGAAAGAAAUCCUUGGCUCUAAUACAGUCGGGGGAUGACGGUACCGGGAAGAAUAAGCACCGGCUAACUACGUGCCAGCAGCCGCGGUAAUACGUAGGGUGCAAGCGUUAAUCGGAAUUACUGGGCGUAAAGCGUGCGCAGGCGGUUUGCUAAGACCGAUGUGAAAUCCCCCGGGCUCAACCUGGGAACUGCAUGGUGACUGGCAGGCUAGAGUAUGGCAGAGGGGGGUAGAAUUCCACGUGUAGCAGUGAAAUGCGUAGAGAUGUGGAGGAAUACCGAUGGCGAAGGCAGCCCCCUGGGCCAAUACUGACGCUCAUGCACGAAAGCGUGGGGAGCAAACAGGGUUAGAUACCCUGGUAGUCCACGCCCUAAACGAUGUCAACUAGUUGUUGGGGAUUCAUUUCCUUAGUAACGUAGCUAACGCGUGAAGUUGACCGCCUGGGGAGUACGUCGCAAGAUUAAAACUCAAAUGAAUUG
rnacentral:rRNA from 1 species